AAACAUGGAAAAGUCAGAUUUUCAUAAUAUGUCCCCUUUAAAGAUUACUAAAGAAAACUGAUCAGCAGGCUCCUCUGUACAUACAGUGUGAGAUGAGCUCCAGGACAUUCAAUAAAACUCUUCAUUUGUGCAUUACAUAGCUGAGGUGUAAACAUAUUCAUAGCAUGCUUCUGUAUAUUCUGAUGUUGUUUUCUUGCUAACAGACUGUGUGACCUCUAAACACAGAGCUUUAAGGCCUGCCUAACCAUUAACAUGGAGUAUGAGUCUCAAUGAGGAAGUGAUGCUAACACCUAUAAACAUAAAUUAUAUGCAGGUCUGAUGCUCCUACAGCUCUGAUUUUCUCAAUAUUUUGUGACAUUUUAUAAAGCUUUGACCUGUGACUGAUGCUGAUGUUUGUUGUUAUGUGUCAGCUUUAAUAUGAAGACAUUAAAGGAUUCAUUAACUUUUUUUCUGGAGUUUGAGGCAGCACCCAAUUUCUCAGAAAGAGGAAGACAAAAAUAUUCACAGUUUUUUAAGCUUCAUAUUAAAGUGUAAAUGCCACCAGCAGUCCAUCAGAUAACAACGCCUGUACUCCUUGUUUAUUUGUUAUUUGUGCAUUGACAUAGACGCUCAUUGUCAUAGCAUGAGGUUUGAUAUGGAGAUGUGUUUCAGAAUAUCUCUGAUGUUUCUGCUCAUGACUGCUGAUGUUGAUGGUCAGCAGGAUUGGGUGAACUACAGUCUUUCAUAUGUUUGUGCAUUAAGGGACUCAACAGUGAGAUUAAAUUGUACUUUAAAACAUUCUGAUAGAUAUUGGGUCAUAGCAGCCACCUGGACCAAAUCAGCAUAUACAGCACCAAACCUGUGCUCAGACACAAACUACACAGGAAAGGUUCACUGUGUUUACAGUGAAUAUAAUGGCACUCACAGCAUCACUUUAACAAAUGUGACAGAAGCUGAUAAACACAUCUACUAUUGCAGAUUCAUAACAAACUGCAGAUACAACUGUGAAUACAAUGUAUGGAUUCCUGGAGUUCAGCUUGAUGUCACAGGUAAUGAAAUAAACCACUGAAU